rnacentral:rRNA from 1 species
AGCACCGGCUAACUCCGUGCCAGCAGCCGCGGUAAUACGGAGGGUGCAAGCGUUACUCGGAAUCACUGGGCGUAAAGGACGCGUAGGCGGGAUGCCAAGUCUGAUGUGAAAUCCUAUGGCUUAACCAUAGAACUGCAUUGGAAACUGGUUACCUAGAGUAUGGGAGGGGGAGAUGGAAUUAGUGGUGUAGGGGUAAAAUCCGUAGAUAUCACUAGGAAUACCUAAAGCGAAGGCGAUCUCCUGGAACAAUACUGACGCUAAGGCGUGAAAGCGUGGGGAGCAAACGGGAUUAGAUACCCCGGUAGUCCACGCCCUAAACGAUGAACACUAGUCGUCGGGAUGCUUGUCAUCUCGGUGAUGCACUUAACAGAUUAAGUGUUCCGCCUGGGGAGUACGGUCGCAAGAUUAAAACUCAAAGGAAUAGACGGGGACCCGCACAAGUGGUGGAGCAUGUGGUUUAAUUCGAAGAUACGCGAAGAACCUUACCUAGCCUUGACAUUGAUUGAAUUCUGUAGAGAUACGGAAGUGCCUUUCGGGGAACAUGAAAACAGGUGCUGCACGGCUGUCGUCAGCUCGUGUCGUGAGAUGUUGGGUUAAGUCCCGCAACGAGCGCAACCCUCGUCCUUAGUUGCUAACAGUUUGGCUGAGCACUCUAAGGAGACUGCCUUCGUAAGGAGGAGGAAGGUGAGGACGACGUCAAGUCAUCAUGGCCCUUACGGCUAGGGCUACACACGUGCUACAAUGGGGCGUACAGAGUGUUGCGAUACCGCGAGGUGGAGCCAAUCACUUAAAGCGUCUCUCAGUUCGGAUUGGAGUCUGCAACUCGACUCCAUGAAGCUGGAAUCACUAGUAAUCGUAGAUCAGCAAUGCUACGGUGAAUACGUUCCCGGGUCUUGUACUCACCGCCCGUCACACCAUGGGAGUUGAUUUCACCCGAAAUUGGGAAGCUAACCUUCGGGAGGCUACCACUUACGGUGGAAUUAGCGACUGGGGUGAAGUCGUAACAAGGUAACCGUAGGAGAACCUGCGGUUG